rnacentral:tRNA from 1 species
GCCUGGGUGGUUCAGUGGUUGAGCAUCUGCCUUCGGCUCAGGUCGUGAUCCUGGGGUCCUGGGAUUGAGUCCCAGACUGGGCU